AGCAGCCGCGGUAAUUCCAGCUCCAAUAGCGUAUAUUAAAGUUGUUGCAGUUAAAAAGCUCGUAGUUGAAUUUCGGGGUCAGCAAGUUGGUCGUGCCACCGGUAUGCACUGGCUUUGCUGAUUCCUCCUUCUUGUAGAACCGUAAUGCCAUUAAGUUGGUGUUGCGGGGAAACAGGACUGUUACUUUGAAAAAAUUAGAGUGUUUAAAGCAGGCUAAGGCUUGAAUACAUUAGCAUGGAAUAAUGAAAUAGGACGACGAUCCUAUUUUGUUGGUUUCUAGGAUUGACGUAAUGAUUAAUAGGGAUAGUUGGGGGCAUUAGUAUUCAAUUGUCAGAGGUGAAAUUCUUGGAUUUAUUGAAGACUGACUACU
rnacentral:rRNA from 1 species